rnacentral:lncRNA from 1 species
CCUUCCCCUCUGUUUGUAUAUAUAUAAAAAAAUCCCUUCCCCUUUGCUCAGUCCCAAGCAGUUUUCGCGAGAGUGUUCUUGUUGCAGAUUUGGGUUCUGGUGCGAGCAAAGAAUGUGCCGUCGCGUGCGAAGAUUAUGCCAUCAUUUGUGCAGUUGAACCACUUGGCAAGCUCGGUGGGACAGAGUCGAGGUCGAGAAGGGUGCGUCCCGCGACGGAGGACGGCGGCGGCGCGAUCGAGAAGAAGGGGAAGAAGGAGAAC